rnacentral:rRNA from 1 species
UACGGAGGGUGCAAACGUUGCUCGGAAUCAUUGGGCGUAAAGCGCACGUAGGCGGUCCAGCAAGUCGGGUGUGAAAGCCCUCGGCUUAACCGAGGAAGUGCAUUCGAAACUACUGGACUUGAAUACUGGAGAGGAUCGCGGAAUUCCCGGUGUAGAGGUGAAAUUCGUAGAUAUCGGGAGGAACACCAGUGGCGAAGGCGGCGAUCGUGGACAGAUAUUGACGCUGAGGUGCGAAAGCGUGGGGAGCAAACAGG